rnacentral:rRNA from 1 species
AUUGAACGCUGGCGGCAGGCCUAACACAUGCAAGUCGAACGGUAACAGGAAGCAGCUUGCUGCUUUGCUGACGAGUGGCGGACGGGUGAGUAAUGUCUGGGAAACUGCCCGAUGGAGGGGGAUAACUACUGGAAACGGUAGCUAAUACCGCAUAACGUCGCAAGACCAAAGAGGGGGACCUUAGGGCCUCUUGCCAUCGGAUGUGCCCAGAUGGGAUUAGCUAGUAGGUGGGGUAACGGCUCACCUAGGCGACGAUCCCUAGCUGGUCUGAGAGGAUGACCACCCACACUGGAACUGAGCCACGGUCCAGACUCCUACGGGAGGCAGCAGUGGGGAAUAUUGCACAAUGGGCGCAAGCCUGCUGCAGCCAUGCCGCGUGUAUGAAGAAGGCCUUCGGGUUGUAAAGUACUUUCAGCGGGGAGGAAGGGAGUAAAGUUAAUACCUUCGCUCAUUGACGUUACCCGCAGAAGAAGCACCGGCUAACUCCGUG